rnacentral:rRNA from 1 species
AACGAACGCUUUCGCCCUUCCUAACACCUUCAAUUCGAACUAGACCUUCGGGUCUAGUGUCUCACUGUUUCGUAACGCGUGGGAACCUGCCCUUAGGUUCUUACUCACUCCCCGAAAGGGGUGCUAAUACCGGAUAAUGUCUUCGGACCAAAGAUUUAUCGCCUUUGGAUGGGCCCGCGGGGGAUUAGCUAGUUGGUAGGGUAAAAGCCGACCAAGGCGACGAUCCAUAGCUGGUCUGAGAGGAUGAUCAGCCACACUGGGACUGAGACACGGCCCAGACUCCUACGGGAGGCAGCAGUGGGGAAUAUUGGACAAUGGGCGAAAGCCUGAUCCAGCAAUGCCGCGUGAGUGAGGAAGGCAGUAGGGUUGUAAAGCUCUUUUACCCGGGAUGAUAAUGACAGUACCGGGAGAAUAAGCGAAGGAGAAAUCCGGG